AAUCUGUUUUCUUUUUAUCUUUUGUUUGGUGUGUAUGGCUUUCACACUUCACUGACUUGCUUUUGAUGAUUGAUUGUUGUGGUGUUUACCAUUACUUGUUAAAUGGUAAGAUAUUAUGACGUGAAAUACCCGAGGAUGCUUGGCAAUUUGGGUUCAUUUAUGUGUUUGUUAUGUGAUCUGAUGGGAGAUGCUCAUCGUAAUUUUAUUUAAAUAAUUCUUUUCUUUUCUGUAAUUUAGAUGUUGUGGUUUAGUGUGAUCUGAUGUGAGUUCUUUUUUAUAAUAGAUCCAUGAAGUGAGGGUGACAGAGUUAGUUGCAUUUAAGCACUGGGUUGAUGAACUGAAACACGAAAUGAUUCUUGCAAAUCGUCAGUUUGUUGCUCUCUCGAAAGAGCGGAAGGCCCAUUAUAUAUCAGAACUUGAGCGGAAAGUUCAGACUCUUCAAAUUGAAGCCACACUUUUUCUGCACAUCUCACAUUAUUCUAGUUUUGUACCAAUUGAAUUAUGUCUUUGAGAAUGUAUUCUUUCUUCUUCUUCUUCUUCUUCUUCUUUUUUUUCUUUUUCCUUUCCUAUUCAUUCUUUCUUUCUUCUUUUUUCUCUUCAUUCACUAGGAAGAUUUCCAAAUGCACAUCACUAGAUGUCUGAUCAUGCAUAGAUUUAAUGCAGAUCUCUAGAAGUUAUGAUAUUUUAAUUAGACCAAGCUAUUUAUCUUGCAUCGUAUAUCUUCGGUCAUUAUUUUGUUCACAAUCAUGUUAGUGGAAGCUUCAUUUCGGUUAAAACACCUGAUAUGUUAUUGGAUCAACAACAAUUCAAUGCUCUGCCAAAAUCCAAUCAAAUCAGAUGCAAGCUAAUCAGAACAGUUACAAUUUGAUCAGAUUAGUUAAAAUGCAAUCAGAUAUGUUCUAAAUACAUUUACUGCAUAUGUAUCCCAAUGUCAGUGAUUUAUUAUUUACGCCAUUUUUUGAAUGGCUUAUUUAUGCCAUUUUUAACUAUCAAAAUAUAUUUUAUUAUCUGCACCAAACAAAAUUUAUCGGUGGAAGGUGAGAUACUGUCACAUCCUGCCUUCUCUAGAAGAUUAGUCCACCAAAAGAGGUUUUCUAUUGGAUUCAAGGUUCUUUACUCCUAAAUGAAGAAUAUUUUGCAGAUACAGUUGUGCUUGUCUGAUGCUUCUGUGACUGUAUUGUUUGUUAUGUACUCAGUUUUUUAUUCUCAAGCUUUGCUAAGCUCACACACCUGUACAAGUCAGCUAAUGCACACCCCACCAAAUAUGCACUGGUGUGGCAGACAGGUGCAAUAUCUAAGCCAUCCAUCAGAAGGAUACCACUAUGUAGAUUCCCUAUCUCAAACAUCAGGUCGGUCCACCAGUGAGAUGGGCUACAAAACUGAAUAGAUGUAGAGUUGUGGACAAAAUCAGUCAAAGCUUUCUAACCUGUUAAGUUAAUUCUAAUAGCAUUGCUCACCUACUGAAUCAACAAACUCUAUCUUCGAGUAGUAACAUCUGCCCGAUGAGGUCCACCUAAUCUGUGGCUUGGAUAUUUCACCUGUCUGCCAUGCUGGGAUAUGUGAUGGUGUGUGAAUUAGAUGACUUGUCCAUGCAUGUGGGCUAAGCAAUGCUCUUUAUUCUCAUAUAAUUUAAAUCUAAUGCUGCUUGGUUUUAACACUUGUUGCAAUGGUCCAUCUAUGAAAUGUACCAUGUUGUUUCUUGUUUUGUGUUCCUGCUUUGGUACAUUUAGAAAACCUUCACCAUUGUUAUCGGGAUAUUUUCAGUCCCUUUUCGGCAUCUAUUCUGUCAGAAUUGAGAAUGCAGGCGUUAGAAGGCCAGCAAGUGAUGACGUUCAAAUCUAAGGAGUUUCUCAUCCGAGUGAUUUUAGGAAGGCGGUCCGAAUAACAAAAGCUUCAUCCUUUCACAAGAAACUCAAGAGGCUGAGAUUAAGCUGCUCAGGAAGACCCUAACUUGUAAAGCAACACCUAUGCCAAGUUUCUAUCAGGAACCGGCACCUCCCAAAGUGGAGCUGAAGAAGGAAAGAGUUGAAAAUUCUCGGUAUUCUGGGGCUCUCUCUCUCUCUAACUUAAGAGUGAAGAUUCCUCCUCUUCGAGUAGUGGAGAAGAAAUGGACAGUGAUGAUAGUGAUGAUAGUGAUGAUGAUGAUGUUGAAAAAGAAGAAGAAAAA